GUAGUCCACGCCGUAAACGAUGAGUGNUAGGUGUUAGACCCUUUCCGGGGUUUAGUGCCGUAGCUAACGCAUUAAGCACUCCGCCUGGGGAGUACGACCGCAAGGUUGAAACUCAAAGGAAUUGACGGGGGCCCGCACAAGCGGUGGAGCAUGUGGUUUAAUUCGAAGCAACGCGAAGAACCUUACCAGGUCUUGACAUCCCUCUGACCGCUCUAGAGAUAGAGCUUUCCUUCGGGACAGAGGUGACAGGUGGUGCAUGGUUGUCGUCAGCUCGUGUCGUGAGAUGUUAGGUUAAGUCCCGCAACGAGCGCAACCCUUGCCUUUAGUUGCCAUCAGUAAGGCUGGGCACUCUAGAGGGACUGCCGGUGACAAACCGGAGGAAGGUGGGGAUGACGUCAAAUCAUCAUGCCCCUUAUGUUCUGGGCUACACACGUGCUACAAUGGCUGGUACAACGGGCAGCGAAGGAGUAAUCCGGAGCGAAUCCUACAAAGCCAGUCCUAGUUCGGAUUGUGGGCUACAACUCGCCCACAUGAAGCCGGAGUUGCUAGUAAUCGUGAAUCAGAAUGUCGCGGUGAAUGCGUUCCCGGGUCUUGUACACACCGCCCGUCACACCAUGGGAGCUCAGGGCACCCGAAGUCAGCACUAGGCGCAAGCUGAAGCUGCCGAAGGUGUUAUGAGUGACUGGGGUGAAGUCGUAACNAGGUAACCGU
rnacentral:rRNA from 1 species